UACGUAGGGGGCAAGCGUUAUCCGGAUUUACUGGGUGUAAAGGGAGCGUAGACGGCAUAGCAAGUCUGAAGUGAAAGCCCGUGGCUCAACCGCGGAACUGCUUUGGAAACUGUUAAGCUGGAGUACUGGAGAGGCAAGCGGAAUUCCUAGUGUAGCGGUGAAAUGCGUAGAUAUUAGGAGGAACACCAGUGGCGAAGGCGGCUUGCUGGACAGAGACUGACGUUGAGGCUCGAAAGCGUGGGGAGCAAAUAGG
rnacentral:rRNA from 1 species